rnacentral:lncRNA from 1 species
CCUGGCUAAGUAUUUUCAAUGUUCACAUGAGACCUGGACGUGGUAGAGUUGGAUAUGUAGUUCAAAACUAAUUCUUAUUGGCCCUGGAGAGAGCUCUCAGCAGUUAAGAGUUUGCUCUUCCAGGUCAUUUGAGUUAAAUCCCCAGCACCCAUGUUGGGUGAUUCACAACUGUCUGUUUACUCCAGCACUACUGGAUCAGAAUUUAUGGCCUCUAUGCAUUUAUGGUAUCUGAACCUGUAGCCUUCCCUCCCCCAGCCUUAAUGGUUCCACUGUUUACAUCUGGAUGGAGCUUGCCCCUCAAUCGUUCUGCCACGCCCACUGCUGGAACCUGCUGCUUUGCUGUUCUGGAGCCAUACACGUGGUCACCCUGCUACUGGACUCCAGGAUUAUUUGGCGGGAAUCGGCCCCCCCUUCCCCUCCUUCAUAACUGCGUGUUGGAAUAGUAAAAUUGAGCUUUGAUCAGAGUCCACUUUGACUUGGCUCCGUUCUUUCUUCCGUCUGUCUAGUUCCUCUCUUUCACCUCGAGCUGCCAUCUCAGUUGUACCGUUCCUCGGGAGCUGCUGGUCGGCCUGCAACAUGAACCAAUAUACCCCAUUGACUGACCCGCAGACCGAGUCACCUGGCACCCAACAUGGGGCAGAGAGAACGAGAGACCCCAUGAGGGACAUUACUGGAAGAAGGAUCGACCAAGCAGGAACCUGCCUCAUUG